CCCCUUAGAGGAUGACUGAUUUCUUUUGGUGUUCAGAGUCAAUAGAAUUUUCUAGCACCAUCUGAAAUCGGUUAUAAUGAUUGGGGA
ensembl:miRNA